rnacentral:rRNA from 1 species
ACUCCUACGGGAGGCAGCAGUGGGGAAUAUUGGACAAUGGGGGAACCCGUAGCAUCCAGCCAAUGCCGCAGUGUGUGAAGAAGGCCUGAGGGUUGUAAAGCACUUUCAACUGUGAGGAUUGGGAUUUUGGUUAAUACCCGAGAUCCUUGACGUUAGCAGUAGAAGAAGCACCGGCUAACUCCGUGCCAGCAGCCGCGGUAAUACGGAGGGUGCAAGCGUUAAUCGGAAUUACUGGGCGUAAAGCGUCUGUAGGCGGCUUAUUAAGUCGGAUGUGAAAAU